AGAUUGAACGCUGGCGGCAUGCCUUACACAUGCAAGUCGAACGGUAGAGUAGCAAUACUUGAGAGUGGCGAACGGGUGAGUAAUAUAUCGGAACGUGCCCAGUCGUGGGGGAUAACGUAGAGAAAUUUACGCUAAUACCGCAUACGAUCUAAGGAUGAAAGCGGGGGACGUAAGGCCUCGCGCGAUUGGAGCGGCUGAUAGUCAGAUUAGGUUGUUGGUGAGGUAAAAAGCUCACCAAGCCGACGAUCUGUAGCUGGUUUGAGAGAACGACCAGCCACGACUGGGACUGAGACACGGCCCAGACUCCGUACGGGAGGCAGCAGGUCGGGGAAUUUGGACAUGGGCGAAAGCCUGAUCAGCAAUGCCG
rnacentral:rRNA from 1 species